GACGAACGCUGACGGUGUGCUUUAGACAUGCAAGUCGAACGAGAAAGCCCUUCGGGUUAGUAAAGUGGCGAACGGGUGAGUAACACGUGGGCGAAUCUGCCCCUCGCAGGGGGACAACCGGAGGAAACCCCGGCUAAUACCCCGUAACGUUCAAAGGGAGGCAUCUCCCCUUCGAAGAAAGGUAGCUUCGGCCAUCCGGCGAGGGAUGAGCCCGCGGUGCAUUAGCUAGUUGGUGGGGUAACGGCCCACCAAGGCGACGAUGCAUAGCUGGUCUGAGAGGAUGAUCAGCCACACUGGGACUGAGACACGGCCCA
rnacentral:rRNA from 1 species